CAUACAAUGUCUAAGAAAGAGAAAGAAUUGUUUUGCAAAGCUUUAAAGGGGUUGAAGUUCUCUAAAAGUUAUGCGGGAAAUAUAUCACAAUGUAUGAAUGUGAAUGAGAGGAAUAUUUCUGGAUUGAAAAGCCAUGAUUGCCAUGUUUUAAUGCAACAACUCCUUCCUUUGGCACUGUGAGCACACCCUACCAAGAAUGUUCAGUUGGUGUUGCUUUCGUUGAGUUCGUUUUUUCGUGGGUUAUGUUCUAAAGUUGGUACAUUAGAAGAUUUUAACAAUCUUGAAGAAUGUAUUGCAGAAACACUAUGCCAUCGUGAGAGAAUCUUCCCACUUGCAUUCUUUGAUAUUAUGGUUCAUUUACUAAUUCACUUACCACGAGAGGCAGUGUUAGGUGGACUCGUACAGUACAGAUGGAUAUAUCCUUUCGAAAGGUUCAACAAGACUCUAAAGGGCUAUAAGCGUAAUCGAAGUAAAAUAGAAGGGUCUAUUUCAGAAGGAUACCUUGAUGAUGAAUGCCGAAAAUUUUGUUCUAGUCACUUCCAAGGUAUUGAGACUAGGUGGACCUGCCCCAUAAGGAAUAUUGGUAGUGGGGAACAUUAAACGGACAAGCAUUGGAUAUUCUCAUGCAUCGGUAGACCAUUGGGGCGUCCUAAGAUGAUACGAUUAGAGCCAAAGGAGGUAAGUGAGGCACAUCGAUAUGUGCUUCUCCAUUAUGAUGCCAUCGACACAUAUCGAGAACGUCACAAGGAAGAACUUAUGAAGAGUUUAGGCAAUAGAAGUAGUCCCUACAGAGACAAGGUGCAUGCUGAAAAUUUCCUAGAGUGGCUCAGAUGUCAAGUGGAUAUGCAACGCCAAAGCGGAGAAGUGGUUCCAGACAUUAUUAAAUGGUUGGCUAAUGGAUCCUUUUCGGAUGCAAAAAAAUACACAGGUUAUAUAUAUAAUGGCAUAAGGUAUAACGUAAAGGAUCGCGAAACCAAUUGGUGAACGCAAAAUAGUGGGGUGUUAGUAACGGCAGGAAUUGAACUCUACUAUGGUGUGUUGAAGGAAGUAGUUGAGUUAGAGUAUUGUGGGGAUCUUAAAACAAUUUUAUUUCAAGUUGAUUGGGCAAAUACACAUAAUGGGGUGCUUAAAGAAGAUAUCGGAUUUACACGUGUGAACUUCAGUCAUUUGAUGCAUUCCAGUGAAGAUAUUCUUGAUGACCCUUUUGUCUUUCCAAGACAAACAGAGCAAGUGUUUUAUGUGUCAGACCCUUUAAAUGAGGGUUGGUGCCUUGUUGUAAAAGCUAACUAACAUGAUACAUUUGAUAUCAGUGGUGAUGUGGCAGAGGAACAUCACCAACCUAUACAAAUGGGAGAAGGGGAUGAUGUUGAUGCUGAUCUUAACAUGACAAGAACUGACUUGGAUGGAACAGUAGUUGACACCCUAAUUUGAACAGAAAUUUCCUUUUUCUUGCCUGCAUUCUCUCUCCGUAACUGUAUUAUGUCUUCUUAUGGUUUGACUAGUCAACAAUGGUUUUGAGUGAAGUAAAAGUCUUCCAAAAGGGUUUUUUUUUUAGUUUUAGUUUUCUAUUGUCCUUUAUUAUUUUCCUUACUGAACAAGUUAGUAUCUUUUAGUAUUUUGUUGAUUCCCUUACAAUUAUCCUAUUUUUGUUCUGUUUUUUAAUUUCUAUUUAUUUUUAUUCUAUGUUUCUAGGUUGUAACCUAAACUAUAUAAGAGGAGUAGUUAACCAAUUGAGAAUUAACCAAUGAAUGAAGUCACAACCAUUGUUGCUCUUUAAUUCCUAAGAAAAUUUUCUUCAACAGUUGAUAUCUAUUCCACCCACAUCUAUCUCAUCUUGUUCUAGUUUCUCUUUGUUUUAACUUUGUGAUUGAGUGUUCUGUCAGCUUGAAGCCCUAUAGGAUCUUACAAACUAAAGCUUGUAUUCAUCCUAAGAACACAGAGAUCAAUUGAGGUUUUUCAGGUUUCAAAGCUUAGGUUUUAGAUAAUGGAGGAUAUAACCCCACCGAUAGAGCGUACUAGUAUCACAGAGGCAUCUUCUUCGAGAAAUACCAAAAAGGAAAGAGGGCCAAGUAAAAGCAUCAAAACAAUGGAAAUUCCUCAUGGGCAACCAGUGAAGCUAAGAGCAAAUCACCUAAAUUAGUUAAUUGUUGAUGAAGCUGCCUAGUUUAGUACAUAUUUGGGCACCUUGAUUAGAAGCCAAAAAAUGAUGCCACUUAACUAUGAAGAUUGGAGAUAUGUUCCAGAACACUAUAAGGAACAACUUUGGAACCAUAUCCAGGUAUGGUUUUAUCGCAUUAUGUAAUUUAUAAUCCAACGUUU